GAAAGACUCAUGUAUUGGUGGUGGUGGACAGAUUCUCCAGAUGGACAGAAUUAUUUGCAAUUUCCUCAGCUUCAGCGAAUUUUGUAGCACAAAUGGAUUAAGGGAUUAUUUCGGACAUUAGAUUAUGAUCAAGGGACACAUUUCACCUCCAAAGUGCCACCGGCGGUGUGUAAGGCUUUUGGAAUUGCCCAUAAUUUUCAUUGUCCAUAUAGUCCGCAAGCGGCGGGGAUUACGGAGCGUCAGAAUCGUUCAAUUAAAGAAAAAUUGUUCAAGACGUUGAGCACCGAAGGAAAAAGACUGGGUUACGAAUUUACCCGUGGUACUGAUGUCAAUGAAGGCGUCAACUAACUGGACUCACGCCGCAUGAAGUGGUAACAGGGAAACCGAUGAGAGUACCAGGAGCUGUUAUUCACGUCACAAAUUAGUGAUCUGGCAAUAAUGGGAGAGUGUAUGUUGUCAGAAAAUUACCCAUGCAUUGCAGUGUGUAUAUUCCCAGAUGAAAGCAGCACAUGAGGAGCAGUUGCCAGGAGAUAACCGAGAGCACGGCUGAAUCCUGGAGACCGAGUGUACAUCAAGAUCACCAGGCAGGGGUGUUGGGACGGCGUUGGUCUGGACAACACACAAUACUCCUUACAGCACCUGCAGCAGUAAAGACCACCGCCUCUCCUCGGUGGGUUCACACUUCUCAUGUGAAACGAGAUCCAGCUGCAUAAUGGGACCUAAGCCCUAGGACCAUGCCUCAGGACUAACUGGCAUUAUGACUCCUUGCUGUCCCCAGUCCACCUGGCCGUGCUGCUGCUCCAGUUUCAACUGUUCUGCCUGCAGCCAUUGGAACCCUGACCUGUUCACAGGACGUGUUACCUGUCCCAGACCUGCUGUUUUCAACUCUCUAGAGACAGAAGGAGCGGUAGAGAUACUCUUAAUGAUCGGCUAUGAAAAGCCAACUGAUAUUUACUCCUGAGGUGCUGACUUGUUGCACCCUCCCACAACUACUAUGAUUAUUAUUAUUUGACCAUGCUGGUCAUUUAUGAACAUUUGAACAUCUUGGCCAUGUUCUGGCACAGCCAGAAGAGGACUGGCCACCCCUCAUAGCCUGGUUCCUCUCUAGGUUUCUUUCUAGGUUUUGGCCUUUCUAGGGAGUUUUUCCUAGCCACCGUGCUUCUACACCUGCAUUGCUUGCUGUUUGGGGUUUGAGGUGGGGUUUCUGUACAGCACUUUGAUAUAUCAGCUGAUGUAAGAAGGGCUAUAUAAAUCAAUUUGAUUUGAUUUAACCAGGUAGGCCAGUUGAGAACAAGUUCUCAUUUACAACUGCGACCUGGCCAAGAUACAGCAAAGCAGUGCGACACAAACAACAACACAGAGUUACACAUGGAAUAAACAAACGUACAGUCAAUAAGACAAUAGAAAAAGUCUAUAUACAGAGUGUGCAAAUGGCGAAAGGAGGUAAGGUAAUAAAUAGGCCAUAGUAGCGGAGUAAUUACAAUUUUAAAAAUUAACACUGUAGUGAUAGUUGUGCAGAUGAUGUGCAAGUAGAAAUACUGGUGUGCAAAAGAGCAAAAAAAGUUAAUAAAAACCAUGUGGGGAUGAGGUAGGUAGUUGGAUGGGCUAUUUACAGAUGGGCUGUGUACAGCUGCAGCGAUCAGUAAGCUGCUCAGAUAGCUGAUGUUUACAGUUAGUGAGGGAAAUAUAAGUCUCUAACUUCAGAUAUUUUUGCAAUUUGUUCCAGCCAUUGGCAGCAGAGAACUGGAAAGAAAGGCGGCCAAAGUAGGUGUUGGCUUUGGGGAUGACCAGUGAGAUAUAUCUGCUGGAACGCGUGCUACGGGUGGAUGUUGUUAUGGCGACCAGUGAGCUGAGAAAAGGCAGAGCUUUACCUAGCAAAGACUUAUAGAUGACCUGGAGCCAGUGGGUCUGGUGACGAAUACGUAGCGAGGGCCAGCCAAUGAGAGCAUACAGGUCGCAGUGGUGGGUGGUAUAUGGGGCUUUGGUGACAAAACGGAUGGCACUGUGAUAGACUGCAUCCAGUUUGCUGAGUGGAGUGUUGGUGGCUAUUUUGUAAAUGACAUCGCCGAAGUUGAGGAUCGGUAGGAUAGUCAGUUUUACGAGGGUAUGUUUGGCAGCUUGAGUAAAGAAAGCUUUGUUGCGAAAUAGGAAGCCUAUUCUAGAUUUAAUUUUGGAUUGGAGAUGUUUAAUAUGAGUCUGGAAGGAGAGUUUACAGUCUAGCCAGACACCUAGGUAUUUGUAGUUGUCCACAUAUUCUAAGUCAGAACUGUCCAGAGUAGUAAUGCUAGUCGGGCGGGCGGGUAUGAGUUGGGAGUAUCUGAAAGGUUCAGUCCGAGAUCUAUCAGUGAACCACGAAGACAAUAGGAGACCAGGAGACAGAUUCCAUGCAAUAGCUAUUCUCACUGAAGUCGCUGUAGGGAAAGGGGGAUACCUAGUCAGUUGUACAACUGAAUGCAUUCAACUGAAAUGUAUCUUCCGCAUUUAACCCAACCCCUCUGAAUCAGAGAGUUGUGGGGGGCUGCCAUAAUCGACAUCCAUGUCUGACAGUAACUGAAGGAGAGGUAGUAGUGGUGAAGGAUGCUAUAGUAACAGCAUGGAACUGGACUACGUUGCAAAUGAGGGGUAUUGUGAAGUAUGCAUCAUGGGCAGUGUUAGUAGUAGCAGGGGUUAUCUUGGUAGUGUCAUGCCCUGACCUUAGAGAACUGUUUUAUUCUCUAUUUGGUUAGGUCAGGGUGUGAUUUGGGGUGGGCAUUCUAUGUUGUCUAUUUUUUUGUUUUGACCGAGUAUGGUUCCCAAUCAGAGGCAGCUGUCUAUCGCUGUCUCUGAUUGGGAAUCAUACUUAGGCAGCCUUUUUCCCACCUGUGUUUGCGGGUAGUUAUUAUCUGUUUAGUCUCUGUUACCUGACAGAACUGUUCACUUUCGUUUUGUUACUUUGUUCAAGUGUUUUUUGAUAAUAAAAAAAUCCUGAACACUUUU